rnacentral:rRNA from 1 species
CAUGAAGCUGGAAUCGCUAGUAAUCGCGGAUCAGAAUGCCGCGGUGAAUACGUUCCCGGGUCUUGUACACACCGCCCGUCACACCAUGGGAGUCGGGAAUGCCCGAAGCCAGUGACCCAAGCGAAAGCAGGGAGCUGUCGAAGGCAGGCCGGAUAACUGGGGUGAAGUCGUAACAAGGUACC